GCCACAUUUUAAGGCUGAAUCUCUGCAUUGCAACAGCGCAUGGGGCACUUGGCAGCACAUGCCAUAGGAUGACUCAUUAAAGCAGAGAUGGAAAUGCAAAGGGGGGGGGGAAUGCCCUCCUACCCUCCUUUUAGGAUCAAGGAGAAGGAUCACCUAUCGCAACUGGUACGGUCAGAUUCAGCAAACCUGGAAAAGAAAUCUGAGCCACCCCUCAAUUUCCCAUAACCCAUAAUACAAUUAAACUCUUCUUCCUCUUCUGGACAGUCUCCUGGACUUCCUCUAGUCACUGGAGAUCCGGCAGAGCUGGUUACCAGGGGCAAGCCAGAGUGUGAGCUAGUGGUGACUGUGUGUCUGUGCACCCGUGCGCCGCAACGUAAAGCCGUCAUGGGCUCUGGCAUGAGUCAGAUUGUCGAAGGCCUGUACCUCGGAAACAUCAGGGAUUCUGAAGACAAAGAGAACCUGGAAAAGCAUGGGAUCACACACAUCCUGUCUGUUCAUAACAAUGCUAAGCCUGGGCUGGAAGACAUGACCUACCUCUGCAUAUCUGCUUCUGACUCCUCUAGUCAAAACCUG